rnacentral:rRNA from 1 species
UACGUAGGGGGCAAGCGUUGUCCGGAAUCAUUGGGCGUAAAGCGCGUGUAGGCGGUUCGAUAAGUCUGCUGUGAAAGUCCAGGGCUCAACCCUGGAAAGCAGGUGGAUACUGUCGGACUAGAGUACGGAAGAGGCGAGUGGAAUUCCCGGUGUAGCGGUGAAAUGCGCAGAUAUCGGGAGGAACACCAGUGGCGAAGGCGGCGAUCUGGGCAGAUAUUGACGCUGAGGUGCGAAAGCGUGGGGAGCAAACAGG